rnacentral:rRNA from 1 species
GACAGAGGGUGCAAACGUUGUUCGGAAUUACUGGGCGUAAAGCGCGUGUAGGCGGCUCGGCAAGUCGGAUGUGAAAGCCCUGGGCUUAACCUAGGAAGUGCAUUCGAAACUGCCAAGCUUGAGUUCUGGAGAGGAAGGCGGAAUUCUCGGUGUAGAGGUGAAAUUCGUAGAUAUCGAGAGGAACACCGGUGGCGAAGGCGGGUCUCUGGGCCGAUACUGACGCUGAGGAGCGAAAGCGUGGGGAGCGAACAGG